rnacentral:rRNA from 1 species
AGUGAACGCUGGCGGUAGGCCUAACACAUGCAAGUCGAACGGCAGCACAGUAAGAGCUUGCUCUUACGGGUGGCGAGUGGCGGACGGGUGAGGAAUACAUCGGAAUCUACUUUUUCGUGGGGGAUAACGUAGGCGAACUUACGCUAAUACCGCAUACGACCUACGGGUGAAAGCAGGGGAUCUUCGGACCUUGCGCGAUUGUAUGAGCCGAUGUCGGAUUAGCUAGUUGGCGGGGUAAAGGCCCACCAAGGCGACGAUCCGUAGCUGGUCUGAGAGGAUGAUCAGCCACACUGGAACUGAGACACGGUCCAGACUCCUACGGGAGGCAGCAGUGGGGAAUAUUGGACAAUGGGCGCAAGCCUGAUCCAGCCAUACCGCGUGGGUGAAGAAGGCCUUCGGGUUGUAAAGCCCUUUUGUUGGGAAAGAAAAGCAGCAGGUUAAUACCCCGCUGUUCUGACGGUACCAAAAGAAUAAGCACCGGCUAACUUCGUG